GUGGAAUGUGGCAACAAGUCUAUAGUUUCGUGUACGUAAGUCUGUGGUCCACCUGGCCAGUGUGACACAGUUCAAUCAGUGUAUGUUUAGUGAUAGCACCGUCGCGUGCGCACCAACUGUUUACAUUUUUUAUCGAGUUUUGUUGUAUUUUGACAAGUACUAGCUCAAAAUGUUUAUGUCUUACGAAGUGUUCGCGACUUUUGGGAUAUCGGCUAUCCUGUCCUUCACGCUAUCAGUAAUCCUCCUACUGAUAGUGGCAGCCAAGAGGGGGUUACUCCGAGUGGGUGCCAGUAGCAAGCCAGCCAAGUUCAACCCUCUACUGCUGCCUAACACUACGCUCACACCAAAGAUCGUUGAAAUGACGCCUUUGAAAGACCCCGCGUAUUAAAUGACUUACAGGCCUCGUCAAGUAUCUUUACUACUCUGAAGUUGGCUAUAAGUUGCUUUAACAGUGUCCAAUUGUCGAAUAACUCUGAAGGUAGCUAUUAAAUGCUUCCUGAUAGUGUUUUGUUUGUUAAUGUUGACAGUUGUGUCUAAUAGCCAACUUCAGAGCAGUGCUGUAUAGACAGAAGGUAAACCUAUACGAAUCUGUCAAAUGUUACCAAUCGAACAUCAACCUUCCACUAUUGUGAUAAGGUUGAAAAUCUACUGAAGGCAUUUGACAGAUUAAGGUAGGUUGACGUGCUGUAUGUACAUAAUUUGUGCCCUUAUUACGUAAACGAUAGAUAUCCAAUUGUUAUGAUUUAGAAAGAAAUGUUGAAAGUCACAACUGCGCAAUAGAGAUAACAUUGAAUUGUGGUAAUAAGUAUUGCAAUUGUCAUCGAAGGAUAUUAUGUUAAUUACGUAAUUAGAGUGCUUGUGAUCAUAAUGUUUUUACUUUAAAUAUUGUCUGUGUGAGAGUGACAUGAAGAUAUAACGACAUAUCAAGCUUAAAUACUUUAGGAAUUAAUUAAUCCUGUUUUGGUUAAUCAUGAUACGCCCCCCAAGAAUUUAUAGGGGGCGUAUCGUAUCAUAAAGAGUGUACAUCUGUACAUGAUAUUGCAUAUCAGCUAAAACUUUCAUAUACUGCUGUAUGUUUGUAGGUAUAUGUCUUCACUUAUCUUUCGAACUGCAAUUAAAAUCAUAUAAGGUGUAAAAAUACAUAGAAUUUAAACCAAAUUCAUUCUUAGUUAAGAUUAUGAAAUACAAAGUACUUAAAGUAAAAUUUUCCGUCCACAAUCGGAUUUGUAAGUCACAAAAAUAUACAUUCCAUUUUAUUAUAAUUUUGAAAAAAAGUCCAACAUUAAAUAGUCCAUGUUACCUUGCUAUAUAAUAUAACUAGUCGAAUAAUGUAUUUCAGUUUUACAAAGUUCUUUUGAAGAGCAUUUUAUUUUGUUCUAGAAUCUCGUAAUAUUUCAGAAAGUAUGUAUAUAGUGUAAAAGCUUUAUGAAUUUAUUAAUUUGAUGAAAACAUCAAAUACUAAUUAGAUGUGCGGUUACUGUGGUCAGCUAAUAUGUUAUUUCAAAAUCAAACUGUUUAAAGUUGUUUUGUAUUUUUGAAAAUAAGAAAUUACGUUGUAAAUUAUACCUAUUUCUAUCUUAAUCUUUGGCUUUGUAAACGAAUUACAAAAGCGUGUCAUUUGUAAAAAUAAUUGUAACCGCAUAAAAUUGACUACAAUUCGUUCAAGAGCCAUCAGUACUUACCAAAGUUAAUUUGCAUUAACAAGAACUAAUUAUAACUUGUACUUAACGAUCGCCGGAAUAACUUAACUUAAUCGCUUAAUCGUCAUACAAAUUAGUUCGUAAGUGCCAUAUAAGUAAUGAUAUUGAUAUAAUUGUAGAGUAGGUGUUUAUGAGCCGGCUCUAGCAGGACCUGCCUACAUAAUUAAUGAAACAUUCGAAUAUAAUUUUGUUAUAAAAUUAGGGCCUUUUAUGUCCUUUGGUCCUUAGUGGUCAUAAAUUAUAAUAAUAUUUAAUAAACAUUUCCAUUUUACAGAGAAAAUCCAA
rnacentral:lncRNA from 1 species